GGGGAUGACUUGGAUUCGACGGGGAGGAAGAUGGUUGAGAUUGCAUACCGUGCUCUCCGAGUUGCACGUUAAUAAAGCGGAAAACCAAUAAGUGCAGACUACAACUACGCACUGGCUGCUUAAUUAAUUAGGUAGCCCGUUUCGAGGGGUCUCUUCUGCCGGGCUCCAAAGGAACGCCGACUCAGGCAGAAUAGCUGAGCACUUUCCUUCUCCGUGCGCGGCGAAACUCGCGAAAGCGGGUAACGAGGAGGUUGCCGCUCCAGGGUCCUGUCGGUCGGAUCAGGAGAGGUGAGCGAUGAAAGACCGACUAUGUAUGUAGUGGUCUCAAUGGUCUUCUCUUCGGACGCGGGUUCGACUCCCGCCAUCUCCACGA
rnacentral:tmRNA from 1 species